rnacentral:rRNA from 1 species
GAUGAACGCUGGCGGCGUGCCUAAUACAUGCAAGUCGAGCGAACAGACGAGGAGCUUGCUCCUCUGACGUUAGCGGCGGACGGGUGAGUAACACGUGGAUAACCUACCUAUAAGACUGGGAUAACUUCGGGAAACCGGAGAUAAUACCGGAUAAUAUAUUGAACCGCAUGGUUCAAUAGUGAAAGACGGUUUUGCUGUCACUUAUAGAUGGAUCCGCGCCGCAUUAGCUAGUUGGUAAGGUAACGGCUUACCAAGGCAACGAUGCGUAGCCGACCUGAGAGGGUGAUCGGCCACACUGGAACUGAGACACGGUCCAGACUCCUACGGGAGGCAGCAGUAGGGAAUCUUGCGCAAUGGGGGGAAGCCUGACGGAGCAACGCCGCGUGAGUGAUGAAGGUCUUCGGAUCGUAAAACUCUGUUAUUAGGGAAGAACAAAUGUGUAAGUAACUAUGCACGUCUUGACGGUACCUAAUCAGAAAGCCACGGCUAACUACGUG